CGGAGGGUGCAAGCGUUAUCCGGAUUUACUGGGUUAAAGGGUGCGCAGGCGGAUAUGUAAGUCAGUGGUGAAAUCUCUUAGGCUUAACCUGGAAAUCGCCGUUGAUACUAUAUAUCUUGAAUGCUGUGGAGGUAAGCGGAAUAGGUCAUGUAGCGGUGGAAUGCUUAGAUAUGACAUAGAACACCUAUUGCGAAGGCAGCUUACUACGCAGAUAUUGACGCUCAUGCACGAAAGCGUGGGGAUCAAACAGGAUUAGAUACCCUGGUAGUCCACGCCCUAAACGAUGAUUACUCGACAUACGCGAUACACUGUGUGUGUCUGAGCGAAAGCAUUAAGUAAUCCACCUGGGAAGUACGACCGCAAGGUUG
rnacentral:rRNA from 1 species